GUUGUAGAGAGCGUCUUCUUUGAAGUACAGCUUGCGGCCGUGCACAGCCAAUCAGCGGGCGGCGUUCCCGGCUGGGCCCAGGGCGAGCCAAUCAGCGGACAGACCGCGGAGGGGAGCCGCCCCAAAGCCUCACGUCAAUCAUCUGUUGGGGCAGCACCGCUCUGACUGUCAAGUGAGAUGAGAUUUUGUAUUUUUUAAAUACGUUUUAUAAUUCUGCUGUCCGGAAUCAAUGUCUGCUUUCAUUCUAGACACGAGUCCAGGUGAGCCGGGCCCAAGCAGGCAAUCUUUGGGGUUGCAGACAGAUCUCAGAUACUUUUUUUAACAAAACGCCCCAGAAGAAGGGGGGGUGUUUGAGGACAGAGACCACCACCACCACCACUACUGAUUGGGAGGUUUGGCAGCUCUUUGAGGGGAGGAAUGGGAGGCCUUCCUAAUGUGGGGAAGUCAACCUUCUUCAACCGCCCUGACAAAGAGUCAAGCGGCAGCAGAACAUUUCCCCUUCUGCACCAUUGACCCAAAUGAAAGCAGAGUGCCCAUUCCUCAUGAACGCUGUGAUUUCCUCUGCCAAUUCCGCGGGGCUGCCAGGACGCUAUGUGCAGAAUCAAGGGCCGGGUCGCGGAUGAAGGGAGGCAGGGCCUCCGCCGCCGUUCGGGACGAAGAACGAAGAGGAGGGAGGAAGACUACGGCAGGGGAGGAAGAGCCGGUAAGGGCCCUGAGAUGUUGAGGAGACUGGAGGACUUCACCCAUUGUCUAGUGUGGGUUCUAGCAUGCGUGUUCAAGUGCGUGUUUGUGUGUGUGUUUGUAUUCCUUUGCGCGUGUGUGUGUGUGUGUGUGUUUGGGUUUGGGUUCUAAUGUGUGUGUGGUUGUGUUUUUGUGUUCCAGCAUGUAUGUGUGUGUGUGUGUGUGUGUGUGUGUGUGUGUGUGUGUGUGUGUGUGUGUGUGUGUGUGUGUGUGUGUGUGUGUGUGUGUGUGUGUGUGUGUGUGCUCUGACAUACCAUUCAAUAUUGCAAAUUCCAAGUCUCCCAAACUCUGCCCUUCAUUAAGUUCUGUUCAGCACAUGGUCUCCAUUUUACAUUUGAUAUCAAAGAAGCCAACGGACAAAAACAUAAACAUAAACAUCUAAAAUUAUAAAAGGCAAAGUAGCAGUAAAUGUCAUCUGGAUUAAUUCCUUAAAUCAUGAGGAAGAAUCCUUAAUUGCUCUCCAAAUUGUUGCUCAAGACAUGGUUACACUUAGUAUCCAUGAGUCCACUUCAAUUUUCAUAACUUAUUAUUAAAAGUAGACGUAAGUAACCAACGUUACUUCACUUUCUGUUAUCUUUAAAACUGUGACAUUUGAAAUGCAAACUCCCUUUUUAGCUCCAAUAUAUUUGAUUAUAGUCUGUCCUCAACUGUUAUAAAUAUCAUUCAAUAUGUUGCAUGUUAAAGUUGUGACAGUAACAUGUUUUGCCCCUUUACUUUGAGUUAUAUCAAUGUCAGAACGCCAAAUACAACAGAAUAAAAACAAUUAGUGGAGAAGGGCGACAUUGAUCCAGAGAGCUAGACAGGCAGCAGAAAACCUGAUUCACUGGAGGGGUGUGUGUCUGUGUCUGUGCAUGUUUGCAUGUGUCAUCGCCUGUGCAUGUGUGUGUGUGUGUGUGUGUCAUCGUCUAUGUGUAUGUGCUGUGUUUGUGUGUGCAGGCUUGUGUCUUUGUGUGGGUGUGUGUUUGAAUGUGUCCGCAUGUGUCGGUGAUUGUUUGUGUGUGUGUGUGUGUGUGAAUGUGUUUCUGCCUGUGUGUGUGUGUGUGUCUCUGUGUGUGUGUGUGUAUGCUUGUGUCUAUGUGGGUGUGUGUUUGAGUGUGUUUGCAUUUGUGCGUUUCUGUUUGUGUUUAUCCUUGUGUUUGUCUGUUUGUGUCUGUAUGCGUGUGUGUUUGAGUGUGUCUGUGUGUGUGUCUGUAUUUGUAUGCUUGUGCAUGUGUCUGUGUAUGCGUUACUCUGUGUGUAUUUGCUCGUGUGCAUGCGUGUGUGUGUGUGUGUGUGUGUGUUUCUGUGUAUGCUUGUUUGUGUUUUUGUGUGUUUAUGCGUAUGCCUGUGUCUGUGUUUGUGUGUCUCUGUGUGUGUAUGUGCUCACUCACGUGCGCGUGCAUGUGUGAGGUGAGAGAUGGAGCAGGGAACAAAUGGGCGUUGUGAUCUAAUCAUCCUUCAGCUGUUACACGAUCACCU